UACGGAGGGUGCAAGCGUUAUCCGGAUUCACUGGGUUUAAAGGGUGCGUAGGCGGGCAGGUAAGUCCGUGGUGAAAUCUCUGAGCUUAACUCAGAAACUGCCAUGGAUACUAUUUGUCUUGAAUAUUGUGGAGGUGAGCGGAAUAUGUCAUGUAGCGGUGAAAUGCUUAGAGAUGUCAUAGAACACCGAUUGCGAAGGCAGCUCACAAAACUAUAACUGACACUGAGGCUCGAAAGUGCGGGGAUCAAACAGG
rnacentral:rRNA from 1 species